rnacentral:lncRNA from 1 species
ACUCAGUCACCUGCAGAAACAGCUGGUCCACACCCGUGUUCUCAUUUCUCUUCCGGCAGCGCCUCUCCCUGGCUUCACACAUAUGUCCUAUGAGUACAGAUGGGGCUUGCUGAAGCAGGUUACUCCACAGCACCUGCCACCUGAAGGGGAGGAUCUGACUCCACCUCUCCUUCAGGACUCAGAGCACCUGGCAUGUCACGAUCCUGUUUCCGUUUAUAAGAAGACAAGACAAUCAGAUAUAGUUAGACACUUGGAUGUACACAACGGAAAUUUAGGAAAUUUGCUGGUGAUUCCCAGUGUCUAGAGGCCGCUUCAGGUCUACAGUGUCUCAUUUUGGUGACAGCUGGCCAUCUGAGUUUGUGUUUCCUGGAAGUAGACCCUGAGAUAAUAAUUUGCCUGCACAGAGGAUUUGGAAAAAGUGAAGGCGGCAUCACCUGCAGAAGACCGUGACCCACAGUAGGGUUGUAACUGAGGCUUCAGGCAUCCACACGGGGAGAUCUGGAGCUGGAAGGCCCUUCUGUGUCAUCUUGUAUUAAGGCAGGGACUUGGGAUCUUGGCCUCAGGCAGUCAUCACACCACAGUCUCAAAACUCGACCUAAAUAUUAGGAAAAAGCUUUUCUGGAACCAGUAGCAGUUUCCAGUGAGGGCACAGCUCUGAGCUCCUAGAGCCUCCCAACAGUGUGGGUGGGUGAAUUCAGAAAAGCCUAUCUAGGCACAUGCCACAGUGUCCCCUCCUCUGUUUUUCCCAUUUACAAUCCCAGGCUUUCAUGUUGAGCUGAGCUGAGCAUUUUUGGGGACCGAUGUAGGAUAGUUGGAAGAAGGAGUGACCCAUUCACCACCAUAUGGAAUACUAAGGCCAAAUGAUGGUUGCUACAUCUUCCAUUCAGUUCUUAUUUCCCCAAGUCACUCCUGAGGCCUGAAAACAUCAGUAAAUUCUGAUUAUAGCAGCCCUAGAUCCACUCCUACACUUCCUUCUGCUGGGCCAGCCUGGAGGGCUGGACAAAAGGAUGGCCUAGGGGUGUCAGCUCCAGUAG